CGUGCAUAACACAUUCAAGUCGAACGGAGUUUGUUGAGUUAAUCCUUCGGGAAGCGUUUAAUGAACUUAGUGGCGGACGGGUGAGUAACGCGUGAGCAACCUGCCUCUGUAAGUGGAAUAACGUCUGGAAACGGACGCUAAUACCGCAUAACACAUAGUGAUCGCAUGGUUAUUAUGUCAAAGAUUUAUCGUACAGAGAUGGGCUCGCGUCCCAUUAGGUAGUUGGUGAGGUAACGGCCCACCACGCCGACGAUGGGUAGCUGGACUGAGAGGUUGAGCGGCAAAGUUUGAGCUGAGAUACGGGCCAGUCUCCUACGGGAGGGAGCAGUGGGGAAUAUUGGGCAAUGGGCGCAAGCCUGACCCAGCGACGCCGCGUGAGGGAAGAAGGUCUUCGGAUUGUAAACCUUUGUUGACAGGGACGAAAAACGACGGUACCUGUCGAGGAAGCCACGGCUAACUACGUGCCAGCCGCCGCCGUAACAC
rnacentral:rRNA from 1 species